UCUACCUUCAAAGUCCCUUUUGCCAUGUAAGGUAGCAGAUUGACAGGUUCCAGGGAGUAGGUCGUGGACGUAUUGAGGAGGCCACUAUUCUAUCGCACCUUCCCACCCUUAAAAACACAUUCUACUAUUUGCUUGCACUUAUGUACCUGCAAAUGUUUAUUGUUAUAAUAUGAGGAAUAGUGAGAUUUUUUUGUUUUGUGGGAAAAGAGAAAGGAAAAAGCAGAGGGGGAGAAUGGAAGGUUGGGUGAAGUCUCUUCUAGUUCUGGCUGAAGCGCUGGACUUGAGACCUGCUGGAUAGGCAGUCAUGGCCAGAAAUGGAUGAAACCAUUUAAAAAGACUACAUGCCUCUGGACACAUGCAGGCCUGCUUUAGGAUCAGGAGAAAAUGUGGCUCAGAGUUACCUGUUUUGUCAAGAACCCAGCGGACUUUCCAUGCGCUGGGGAUGGAAGCAAGGGGGCAGCAUGGAUAUGACACUGUGCCAAUAGACUCUGCCAGCAGAAACUUUUGCAGAAAGUGGGAAGUAAAUGAAUCAGAGGAGGACCCACUGUGGUGGUGGAGUGGGGCCGGGCUCAUCUGUUUCUGCCUCCUGGUCCCCUUGGCUGCCAGGGCUCUGAGGAACCUUCAGGUCUCUGAGACACACAGUUUGCAAACCACAGGGCAAGGCCCACAGUGGAUAAGCAACAUGCUCCCCUCUUUUUGGUGUUUGGACUAAAAUUUGAAGACUUACGAAUGUUCAAGUGCAUAUAAAUCAUCAACGAAUUCAGCACGGAGAAUGGGAAUCUGCAUUUCCAAAAUGUUUUCCAGGUGAUGCAUGCAUUCAGCAGUCUUGGAGAUGUGUCGCUGAGAUCAUUCUUGCAGCAAGAAACCACUGUGAGGCCUGCUGUCAGCUGCAGGUGCCCUGGGAUCUGCCUCAGCUUUGGGACUGAUCUAGCACCGCCCAGGCAGCCCCAGCCAAGACUGAGCUCACGGAGGCCCAGGAGCCAACUGUUUCAUCUCUCCCAGCAAUCUUUGCACCUGAACAUCUUACCCAAUCCUCCUUCCUGCCCUUUACUUUUCCCAGGUGUCAGGACUCUAUCAGGGUCUGAGGCCUUUCUCUACCCAUCCCUGUUUCCUCUUCUCUUUCUGUUUCACGGGGCUUAUCUCCAACAAAUCUAUAGGAUUCCUAACUUGGAAUCUCGGUGCCUGCCUCCUGGAGGACCCAACCAGCCUGUUGUGCACCAAUACCUUUUUUUUUUUUUCCCUGAAAAGUUAUCCACUUAUUUCUCACUUAAGAGGCUUCCCAUUUGCUUCUGGGUUUUGUUUAGUUUAGUUUUGCUUUUUUCCUUUGGAAGUUUGGAGAAACUCCCAAAGGCUCUGAUUUAUUUUAUCUAGGCCCACUUCAGCUCCAGCAAUAAAGAAGGUGGUGAGGGACCCUUGGAAGAAAUUUGUGUAAAACAAAUGAAUCAGUAAUGAUAUUGGGUCACUGGCAUUUGGCUCAAAAAUAUUCCUGGCCUAGUCCUUGGCUGUCCUUCAUGGAGCCAGAUUGUUCCCAGCAGACACAGGUGGGCAGCCUCCCCUCUAGCAUGUGCUUCUACAAUGAAAAUCAAUGACCAAAUGAGAAUGCCCUUCCCAACACCUGUACCUUCAGCUGCUUAUUUGUAAAGGCCUCAGUCCUCUGUCUCCUCUGUAAAGAUUUUUCUGUUCAACAGGGGAGCUUCUCUGCGUUGUUUGGGGUUCCUAUGGGGGGUGGUGGAUGCAGUUCCCACACCACAUGGCAAUUAUCUGAACACAUGAC